GGUGCAUGGCCGUUCUUAGUUCGUGGAGUGAUCUGUCUGCUUAAUUGCGUUUCAAAUUUUUAACCGAGGACCGGGUUUUGGUUUGGCUAGUGGUCCUACAUGACUGUGAACUGUCAUGUCUUCGAUGUACGACUAUCGGUCUAGGAUCACAUGACUUGCCCCUGGGACUCUUUUGAACGCAACGGACUGAUUGCACCCCUUGUUGAGAUUAAAGAUAGUCUCGAUGUUCACUGGCCAACUGGCUGCUUUAUGCAGUCUUGUUGAAUGGUGGAUAAACUCGGGGGA
rnacentral:rRNA from 1 species